CUAACCGUGGCCACGGAGAUAUAUCGUGGCGCCACGGUCGAUCGUCGUAGGUCAGAUGUGUAUAGCCUGCAUAUAAGUAUGAUAGAUUAUACUUUCGACCUCUCGUUUUUCCGAGAAGGAGGUUCGUUAGCCAUGCCUUGUAACCGGCUCUACGCUCCAUCGUAAUUUAUUCAAAAAUGCAACCACCGGAUCCAUCGUUAACCUUAUUGUCACUAUCAUCUCUCUCUUAUAUCCUACUAUUUGCUAUCAUUGGCUUUUUUACGUUAUAGAAUCUGCAUCAUUCUCUUCGUAAUUCUAUCAUCUAUUAUCUAAUUCACUUGAAUUGAUAUAUUUUAAAUAAAUAUUAAUUCUAACCUCAAAACAUUAUAUCGCUAUCUAACAGUGUCACCAACAAUAGUGUGAAAUAUAUCUACCUCUGUGUCCUUACUGCCAACCACUAUUGUCGUAUGAAAUAUUUUACGUUAUCCUCUGUUCGAUAUCAAGCGUCGUUAGGACAACGGCCAACGGGAUAUUAAUUAUAUUCCAAUUAACGAACGCGAGUGGGUCUGGUUGUUGUUGCAUCUCCAGAACCACCGCUGGUGACGUAAUUAAAACGUGAAACACGGGAUGGCAACGUCUCUGGCGAUACGCGUAUUCCGUGACGGACAUAAAAAGUUGGCGUUUUUCAACGUACGCGUCGUGCAUUUAUCUCCACAGUUUUCGAGUAAAGGUUAAUUUCACGCAACACGAAUUCUGGCAAUUGCGCUUGUAUAUUGUUAAACGCGCGAACAACUGUUCGACUUACUCGAAUUGAAGCGAUUUUAAUCCGCCAUGUGUGAUUAGCGAAUCGUUUCUCAUCUUAAUAUAGUAUCAUCGAGAAGAUCGAAGAUGAGAUUUUUUUUUAAAUAUUCCUGGUUUAAAUUGGUAGAGUCGGUACAAUUUCGGGAAAAGGAUGAUCAUGAAAUAAUGAUCGAAAAUAUAGAAUAAAAUAAACAAUAUUCGCUGAAUGUACGCGAAUAUAUUUAAUUAUGUUUUGAUCUAAUAUAUCUUGCUGUAAUUUAAUCUCUCUUUAGAUUUAUGUUUAUUAUACCGGGUAAACAGGAAUACAUAAUAAAACAGUUAUAUUAACUUAUGAUAAAUUUUAUUAUUACGGAAUAAUUAUUGAAAAUUUCUGCUGAAUAUAUAAUUGUUCCCUACGAAUUAAAUUUUCGCGAACGUUUCAAUUGAUUGAACGAGAAAAUUUGUAAUUUUUUUUUUUCGAAAUAAACAACACGAUUUUGACUCCGUAAAUAAAGAUCGAGUCGUAUCCACGAUCUAUCCCAAGUCUUCAAAGGAGUGCAAUAAAUUUAAAUUGUUCGAAAUAAAUUUUCAUGCAAAAUAGAAUCAAAAAUAAUCAAUAAAAUCUGUAAACAACCAUUGUCCCAGAAUCGAGAUAAUCCUUUAAACAACAUCCCUCGAACACGGAUUUACAUAAAACGGAAUUCAAAAUCAAUCUAAAAUUCGUUGGUUGAAAUUGAUCAAUUCGUCAUGUUGAUUAGUAAAGUAUAACGGCGCAGGUUGAUCGGCUCGUCGCAUAUAAAGCGUGUUCGCAAUCGAUAACGCGAUAUUUACGUCAUAUUUACGUUAUAACGGACCGCCGUUUCGCCUGCCCUCUCAUGUAUCCACACGUUCGUUUGACGAUAUUAACGGUUGACCGGUCGCGCGGAUACAUAUUGCUUCGAUGUCACCGAAAGUCACGUGGUCUCUCUCUCCAAACACAUCGGCCGAAAUCGCGCCUACCAGCGCGCCACCAACAAUGUUACUCGCAUUCUCUCGUUUCAUUACGACGCUGCUCGCUGCCGCUUGUCGCGAGAAAAUUAAAGGGGGAAUUUAACGUCAAUUUUCGAAUUCUAACGAUGAAGCAGAGAUACAAGCGUGUUCAAUGGGAUUAUAAAAGAAGAUCGGUAGAGAAUCAGUAAGCAGAACGAGACAUGUCGAUGUUCCUACGUGAAAAUAUUUGACAAUCUUUAUUGUCCUGAUUAUUGCGAUAUGAAUUCUAUUUCUGUGAAUCGUAGUAAUUGAAAUUCAAAAUGGAAUACUCGGCUGCAUUAUCCUUUACGAGCCUCGAUAUCUUGGAGAUUAUGGAAUAAAUUAUUAACAAAGUUGGAAAAUGUAUAAAAAUUUUAUUUCAAAUAGUAAGGUAAAUAAAUUGAAUCGAAUUAAAACAAAAUACGAUAAACUUGUUAGAAAUUGCCAAAAUAAAUAAUAUUUAAAAUUA